ACCGUGGAGUCAUUGUUGAAAUACCACUCUGGUCACUCUGGAUAUCUAACUUCGAACCGUAAUCCGGUUCAGGGACAGUGCCUGGUGGGUAGUUUAACUGGGGCGGUUGCCUCCCAAAAAGUAACGGAGGCGCCCAAAGGUUCCCUCAACCUGGUUGGCAAUCAGGUGGCGAGUGUAAGUGCACAAGGGAGCUUGACUGUGAGACUGACAGGUCGAGCAGGGACGAAAGUCGGGACUAGUGAUCCGGCAGUGGCUUGUGGAAGCGCUGUCGCUCAACGGAUAAAAGGUACCUCGGGGAUAACAGGCUGAUCUUGCCCAAGAGUCCAUAUCGACGGCAUGGUUUGGCACCUCGAUGUCGGCUCGUCGCAUCCUGGGGCUGGAGUAGGUCCCAAGGGUUGGGCUGUUCGCCCAUUAAAGCGGUACGCGAGCUGGGUUUAGAACGUCGUGAGACAGUUCGGUCCCUAUCCGCUGCGCGCGUAGGAAAUUUGAGAGGAUCUGACCCUAGUACGAGAGGACCGGGUUGGACGAACCUCUGGUGUGCCAGUUGUUCUGCCAAGAGCACCGCUGGUUAGCUACGUUCGGGAUGGAUAACCGCUGAAAGCAUCUAAGCGGGAAGCCGGCCUCAAGAUGAGAUUUCCAUACCUUCGGGUGAGAGGCUCCCAGCCAGACUACUGGGUUGAUAGGCCGGAUGUGGAAGCGUGGUAACACGUGAAGCUGACCGGUACUAAUAAGCCGAUGACUUGAUAAC
rnacentral:rRNA from 1 species